rnacentral:rRNA from 1 species
UACGUAGGGGGCAAGCGUUAUCCGGAAUCAUUGGGCGUAAAGCGCGUGUAGGCGGUUCCGUAAGUCCGCUCUGAAAGCCCAGGGCUCAACCCUGGGAGGCGGGUGGAUACUACGGAACUGGAGUACGGAAGAGGAGAUUGGAAUUCCUGGUGUAGCGGUGAAAUGCGCAGAUAUCAGGAGGAACACCAACAGCGAAGGCAGCUCUCUGGUACGUGACUGACGCUGAGACGCGAAAGCGUGGGGAGCGAACAGG